GGGAUUUCUGCAAGUCGACUACCCAAGAAAUUGCACUCUACUUCGAUAGCCUCUAAGCCUGAAGACACAAGGGAAUUAGCUGCUGGAUAGUGAAGCUAACCUGCAUCUCAUACACAUAAAAGAACUAGGAUUUGUUCUAGAAUUGUCACCCUCCAUACUCAUUGUUUGCAGGGGUGUCUGCGUGGAAACAAAAUGGUGAGCAUACUGUAAAACCAAUGUUUGCAAUUCCUGAAAUUUGGAUGCUAA